rnacentral:rRNA from 1 species
UCUGGCUCAGGAUGAACGCUAGCGACAGGCUUAACACAUGCAAGUCGAGGGGCAGCAUAAAAGUAGCAAUACUUGGUGGCGACCGGCGCACGGGUGAGUAACGCGUAUGCAACCUACCUAUCAGAGGGGAAUAACCCGGCGAAAGUCGGACUAAUACCGCAUAAAACAGGGGCACCGCAUGGUGAUAUUUGUUAAAGAGAUUCGCUGAUAGAUGGGCAUGCGUUCCAUUAGGUAGUUGGUGAGGUAACGGCUCACCAAGCCGACGAUGGAUAGGGGAACUGAGAGGUUGGUCCCCCACACUGGUACUGAGACACGGACCAGACUCCUACGGGAGGCAGCAGUGAGGAAUAUUGGUCAAUGGGCGAGAGCCUGAACCAGCCAAGUCGCGUGAAGGAAGAAGGAUCUAUGGUUCGUAAACUUCUUUUGCAGGGGAAUAAAGUGCAGGACGUGUCCUGUUUUGUAUGUACCCUGAGAAUAAGGAUCGGCUAACUCCGUGCCAGCCGCCGC